UAGCCCAACAAACACACCCUCAAUGUAUAAAUCUAAGGUGGGCCGUGACAGGGGUCUGCGUGGUCAAAUCUGAUCCAUUUUGUAAGUUCGGUAGGCCUGCCUGGGCCUCUGGCCCCUGUAAAAGUAUUCUACGUAGACCCGUCCACGAUCAGAAAGGCCCAACCAACUUUGCUCGCUUGUUAUUGCGCUCCGUCUUCCGUCUUCCGCUCCGUCUCGCCGCCGCCGCGCACCCCAACCAAAACCUACCCCCACCGGCGCGCAAUCCGCUCGCCGGAGCCGAUGGGGGCACCCAAUCCGCGCAAGCUCGCCGUUCCACAGGUCUCCUCCGAUUGACCGCUUCCCGUCUCCACGGCAAUGGCGGGGUGCGCCAAGAAGAAGAGGGUGGCGAGGGGCUCCAAGAACAAGAACAAGAAGAAGGGCGGGGCGCGGGACGUGGUGGCCGACCUCACCGAAGACGUCCUCGUCGACAUUCUCUCGCGCGUGCCCGUAAAAUCGCUCUGCCUCGGCAAAUCGGCGUGUAGGCGCUGGCGUGACCUCAUCUCCCACCCCGAACACCGAACACCGCAAGAAGCUGCCCCAGACCCUUGCCGGCUUCUUCUACGGGAGCUGCGACAGAAACCGAUUCCCGAAAUCGGCUCGCUAUUUCAUUAGCGUCUCAGGAGCAGGCGACCCUCUGAUCGACCCCGCCCUUUCGUUCCUACCCGAAUAUAAGAGCAUUGACUUCGUGGACAGCUGCAACGGACUCCUCCUUUGCCGUGGCUGGAAACCCACUAAUCCUGUGACACUGGAUUACCUCGUGCAAUCCCGCCACUGAGAAAUGGGUGGUCGUUCCCGACUCUGGCUGGUGUAGCAAAGCUACAUUUUAUGAGCCAAGGAUCGCUCGCUUGGGGUUUGACCCAGCUAUCUCCACACACUUCCAUGUGUUUGAGUUCAUACCAGAUCAUGUUUGGCAUAUGAAUGAUCGAGAGAUGGACGUGAAUGAUUUUUACAGAAUGACAUACGAGAACGAUUUUGAUGGAAGGAUACAAGUAGUGGCCACCUACUCCUCCAAAACUGGAGUUUGGAGUUUCAACGAGGACCAUUUCAAAUGGGGUGGUCAAUUUGCGAUUCCCAUGGAUUCAAAAGGUGUCUUUUUCAAUGGGGUUCUGCAUCUGACUACUUUUUAUGGCAUGGUAUUAGCCAUUGACGUGGAGGGAAAUAUUUUGAGAGGCAUCCCUGUUUCUAUGCCAGACUAUGAUGGAGAAACGUAGGUGAUGUUUACCUAUCUCAGGGACACUUGUAUUUUGCAGUAAGAUAUGUAUCUGAUGAAUCCGAUGACUAUGGAUUAUCAGUCUGGGUUCUUGAGGACUACAAUAGUGAAAAUUGGUCUUUGAAGCACAAUGUCAACCCUCUGGAUCUGUUUGGAGCUUAUUACUAUUCAAAGUUUGGAGAUUAUUUCAGAGUUAUAUCAAUUCAUCCAGAACACAAUGUGAUUGUCAUGGUUUGCGGACAGACAAAACACUAAUGUCUUAUGAAAUGGAUCACAUGAGGAUCCAUUUUGUAAGUCGACUUGGAAGCCAUUGCUCGACUCCUUAUAUUCCAUAUGUUCCCUUGUUCUCAGGGUCAUUGGCAGACGAGCACUAAAAGUCUCACUUGCCAAGUAUAGCUCCAUGAUUGUUGGACUUAUCCGAUGAUACUGGAGUUGGUAUAUGAGCAGCGGUGGCUUGGGUAGAACUUUAUGAAGUUGUGACAGUGUUCCAUGGUGCUUUCGUGCACUCGUGUAGCCAUGUGCCCAACUUUAUGGGGCCAGCUAGUGCAGUUCACUGAGGAAGUAUAUGUUUUGUGUAUGCUGUGUAAGCAGCAUAUGCAGUUGUAAAUGGCAUCAUCCUUAAGUACUUCGAGUUGAUAUUAUGAUCUUUCUGUUGAACCAUAAUCAGUGCCUUUAACAUCCAGGUUC